rnacentral:rRNA from 1 species
AGAGUUUGAUCCUGGCUCAGGAUGAACGCUAGCGACAGGCUUAACACAUGCAAGUCGAGGGGCAGCAUAAUGGAUAGCAAUAUCUAUGGUGGCGACCGGCGCACGGGUGCGUAACGCGUAUGCAACCUACCUUUAACAGGGGGAUAACACUGAGAAAUUGGUACUAAUACCCCAUAAUAUCAUAGAAGGCAUCUUUUAUGGUUGAAAAUUCCGAUGGUUAGAGAUGGGCAUGCGUUGUAUUAGCUAGUUGGUGGGGUAACGGCUCACCAAGGCGACGAUACAUAGGGGGACUGAGAGGUUAACCCCCCACACUGGUACUGAGACACGGACCAGACUCCUACGGGAGGCAGCAGUGAGGAAUAUUGGUCAAUGGACGCAAGUCUGAACCAGCCAUGCCGCGUGCAGGAAGACGGCUCUAUGAGUUGUAAACUGCUUUUGUACGAGGGUAAACUCACCUACGUGUAGGUGACUGAAAGUAUCGUACGAAUAAGGAUCGGCUAACUCCGUGCCAGCAGCCGCGGUAAUACGGAGGAUUCAAGCGUUAUCCGGAUUUAUUGGGUUUAAAGGGUGCGUAGGCGGUUUGAUAAGUUAGAGGUGAAAUUUCGGGGCUCAACCCUGAACGUGCCUCUAAUACUGUUGAGCUAGAGAGUAGUUGCGGUAGGCGGAAUGUAUGGUGUAGCGGUGAAAUGCUUAGAGAUCAUACAGAACACCGAUUGCGAAGGCAGCUUACCAAACUAUAUCUGACGUUGAGGCACGAAAGCGUGGGGAGCAAACAGGAUUAGAUACCCUGGUAGUCCACGCAGUAAACGAUGAUAACUCGUUGUCGGCGAUACACAGUCGGUGACUAAGCGAAAGCGAUAAGUUAUCCACCUGGGGAGUACGUUCGCAAGAAUGAAACUCAAAGGAAUUGACGGGGGCCCGCACAAGCGGAGGAACAUGUG